rnacentral:misc_RNA from 1 species
AAGUCGUAACAAGGUCUCCGUUGGUGAACCAGCGGAGGGAUCAUUACAGAGUUAUCUAACUCCCAAACCCAUGUGAACUUACCUUUGUUGCCUCGGCAGUAGUUGCUGGGCGAGCCUACCCGGGAACGAGCUACCCUGUAGCGAGUUACCCUGGAACGACUUACCCUGUAACGCCUGCCGGUGGACUACUAAACUCUUGUUAUUUUUAAGUAAUCUGAGCGUCUUAUUUUAAUAAGUCAAAACUUUCAACAACGGAUCUCUUGGUUCUG